rnacentral:rRNA from 1 species
UACGGAGGGAGCUAGCGUUGUUCGGAAUUACUGGGCGUAAAGCGCACGUAGGCGGCUUUGUAAGUUAGAGGUGAAAGCCUGGAGCUCAACUCCAGAAUUGCCUUUAAGACUGCAUCGCUUGAAUCCAGGAGAGGUGAGUGGAAUUCCGAGUUGUAGAGGUGAAAUUCGUAGAUAUUCGGAAGAACACCAGUGGCGAAGGCGGCUCACUGGACUGGUAUUGACGCUGAGGUGCGAAAGCGUGGG